rnacentral:lncRNA from 1 species
CGAGAGCAAAGGCUCACGAUCUGUUGAGCUGAAAACUGAAUGGAGAUCGGAUCAACUAUAACUAGACAGAAGGGCCAAUCGACGAUGCUCGGAAGCAGCAGCGGAACCUACAAGAUAAAUUCUCAUCGGAGAUUGCUCCACCGAAGAUCCUCCGAUACUCAAAUCAGUUUCUAGCUCAACAAAUAAAGAAGCAAGAGGCAAAGUUUUGGCUCUAUAUUUUUGUACGUACCUAUCAGGAAUUUCUUCUUAUCUCUAUUUAUAGAGGGAGUAAGGUCAAAGGCAGA